rnacentral:rRNA from 1 species
GUGGGGAAUAUUGCGCAAUGGGGGAAACCCUGACGCAGCGACACCAUGUGAAGGAUGAAGGCCCUAGGGUUGUAAACUUCUGUCUAGAGGAAAGAAUCAAUGACGGUACCUCUAAAGAAAGCACCGGCUAACUCCGUGCCAGCAGCCGCGGUAAUACGGAUGGUGCAAGUAUUAUUCGGAAUUACUAGGUUUAAAGGGCGUGUAGGCGGAAUAAUAAGUUAGAUGUGAAAUCUUGUAGCUCAACUAUAAGGCUGCAUCUAAAACUGUUAAUCUAGAGUAUGGGAGGGGGAAACGGAAUUUCUGGUGUAGCGGUGGAAUGUGUAGAUACCAGAAGGAACACCGAUGGCGAAAGCGGUUGCCUGGUCCAAUACUGACGCUAAGGAGCGAAAGCUAGGGGAGCAAACAGGAUUAGAUACCCGUGUAGUCC